rnacentral:rRNA from 4 species
AAGUCGUAACAAGGUUUCCGUAGGUGAACCUGCGGAAGGAUCAUUACCUAGAGUUUGCGGGCUUUGCCUGCUAUCUCUUACCCAUGUCUUUUGAGUACUUACGUUUCCUCGGUGGGUUCGCCCGCCGAUUGGACAAUUUAAACCCUUUGCAGUUGCAAUCAGCGUCUGAAAAAAAUUAAUAAUUACAACUUUCAACAACGGAUCUCUUGGUUCUGGCAUCGAUGAAGAACGCAGCGAAAUGCGAUAAGUAGUGUGAAUUGCAGAAUUCAGUGAAUCAUCGAAUCUUUGAACGCACAUUGCGCCCCUUGGUAUUCCAUGGGGCAUGCCUGUUCGAGCGUCAUUUGUACCUUCAAGCUUUGCUUGGUGUUGGGUGUUUGUCUCGCCUUUGCGUGUAGACUCGCCUCAAAACAAUUGGCAGCCGGCGUAUUGAUUUCGGAGCGCAGUACAUCUCGCGCUUUGCACUCAUAACGACGACGUCCAAAAGUACAUUUUUACACUCUUGACCUCGGAUCAGGUAGGGAUACCCGCUGAACUUAA